CAUAAAAUACCUUUUAUAAAAAAAAUUUAUAAAGAUGUUAGAAGCAAGUCUAGUCGUGAUUCCUAACCAAAAUUUCUUGAGCCCUUAACCCUAAUUUCGAUUUCGACUUCGACGAUCCUCUCUGAUGGCGAACGAUAAGCAAAUCGAAUCUCAUCACCGCAAGCAUCACCGUUCAUCUUCCUCGUCCGACGAGACCGAGAAAUCAUCGAAACGGCACAAGCACCGUCAUCACAAGCAUCAUCAUCACCACAGGCAUCGCCAUCACCGAGAUAAGAAGCGCGACGAUGAAAUUCCAUCCGCCGGCGAUGAGACAGAGAUGAUUGAUGUUACUCCGGCGGCUCCAAUUGGUGUUAGUAACGGCUGUGAGGAGGAUGUGGAGGAAGGGGAGAUUUUAGAAGAAGAUGCGAUUGGCGAUGUUUUGAUGAAGACGGCAGAUUCCGACGGCGAGUUUGGCGAAAUCAAAUCCGAUAAUAAUCUGCCUCCAUUUGGGGAAAAAGGGCGUCAAGGAGAAGAGGAGAGUUCUAAUGGUGUUCUAACUCGUGAAUCUGAAAGGGAAGAUAAGAGGUGGGAUAAAGAUGCUAGAGGUACUUCAGAGAGGGUUAGUAAGAUAAGUUAUGAUAAUGGCAAGAGUUCGUUUUCUUCGGAAAGCUCUGAAGAGAAGCGUAAGACUAGUAACCGGUCUCCGUCAAAUAGCAGGCAGUCUAAUGAAGUCCGUGCUCGGAGUAGAUCUAAGUCACAUGAUCGGGAGAGAGAAAUGUCAAGAUCAAGGAUUGUUGCGGAGGAUGAGUAUUCGGACAGAGGAAGACAUCGUGAUUCUAGUAGGGAUCAUCAUCAUGACAGAGUUGACUCAGGUAGGACUGAGGAAAGAUAUCAUCGACGUGGGCGAUAUGAGGAAAAUGACAGGCAAUAUAGCCGAGAUGUCUUGGAAAGAGAUAGAAGUAAGGAGAGAGAUAUGGACAGGGAGGGAAGCAUAAGAGAUAGGGAUUCAGAAGGAAGUAAGCGGAGAGAGAGAGAUAGUGAUCGGAGGAGGGAAAGAGAACGAGAGAAGAGAAGGGAGAUAGAGGUUGACCGUGAAAGACGAAAAGAGAAGGAACGAGGGCGCAGCACUGAUAGGGAUAGGAGAAAGGAGAGGGAAGGAGAUUAUUUACGCGAUAGAGACAAUGAAAGAGGUAGGAGUAGAGAUAGAACCAGGUAUAACAGCAGAGAGAGGAAGAGAGAAAAAGAAAGGGAGGGUGAAAAAGAUUGGGAGCGAGGAAGAGAAACCCAGAAUGAUAGGGAGAAGUACAGAAGUAGUGAUGUGGACUACGGUGAAAUGAGGCACAAACAGUCUAGACACUCAAGAUAUGAUGCGGUAGAUGACGUAGAAAUGAGUAAGCCAAAUUCUUUGAAGGCCCAUAAUUCUAAGGGUGAUAAGUCAGAAGAAAAGUGGGGCAAUGAUGAAAGGUCCCGAAAUGAGGAUGGCCAAGAUGAUAAUGACGAAGGACUUACAUGGAAAUCUCCUGAAGAAGAAGAAGAAGAAGUACUAAAUAGAAUCAAGGAGGAGAGCAGGAAGCGAAUGGAAGCCAUACUGGAGAAACAUAAGAAGAAGCCCGAGCAGCAAAAUGAACUUUUAACUCAGGAGAAUGGGAAAGAUGUUGUUCAAGAAACUGGUGCUCCAGUGUCGACUUCUCCUGCAGUUGUCAUAGCAGCUAAUGUUGGUCAGGCCAAAACUAACUUGGACUUUGAUACUGACGCUGCCAAGGCAUCAUUAAUAGUCGGUGGGCCACCUACUAUGCUUGGAAUUUCAGACUCAGAGAAGAAUCAAGCUCCAGCAGGGCUUGGUGAAGGUAGCCCGAAGAGUGAAAGAUCAGCUGACAUGUUUCAUGAUGAUAUCUUUGGAGAGUCCCCAGCUGGUAUUCGGAAAGUGGGAGGGAAAGGUGAUGGUGUUCCCAUGGUGAGGAGCGGGCUUCAUGAUAAUUGGGAUGAUGCAGAGGGUUAUUACAGCUAUCAGUUUGGCGAGUUACUUGAUGGUAGAUAUGAAGUCAUUGCUACUCAUGGAAAAGGUGUCUUCUCUACUGUGGUUCGUGCGAAAGACUUGAAAGCUGGACCAGCUGAACCUGAAGAGGUGGCAAUAAAAAUUAUCCGUAACAAUGAGACGAUGCAUAAAGCUGGUAAGAUUGAGGUUCAAAUAUUGAAGAAGCUGGCUGGUGCUGACCGAGAGGACAGGCGCCACUGUGUUCGUUUUCUUUCAAGCUUUAAGUACCGUAAUCACCUUUGCUUGGUGUUUGAGUCACUCCAUUUGAAUCUUCGUGAGGUCUUGAAGAAGUUUGGUCGCAACAUUGGUCUCCAACUCUCUGCUGUUAGGGCUUAUUCAAAGCAGCUAUUCAUUGCCCUUAAACAUCUGAAGAAUUGUGGGGUUCUUCACUGCGAUAUAAAACCUGACAACAUGCUGGUCAAUGAAGGGAAAAAUGUGUUAAAGCUUUGUGACUUCGGUAAUGCAAUGUUUGCUGGCAAAAACGAAGUUACACCGUAUCUUGUUAGUCGCUUUUACAGAUCCCCUGAAAUUAUUUUGGGUCUCACCUAUGACCAUCCGUUGGAUAUAUGGUCUGUUGGCUGCUGUCUGUAUGAGCUUUAUAGUGGAAAAGUUCUUUUCCCUGGCGCCACAAACAAUGAUAUGUUACGCCUUCAUAUGGAACUGAAAGGUCCCUUCCCUAAAAAGAUGCUUCGCAAGGGAGCAUUUAUUGAUCAGCACUUUGAUCAUGACUUGAACUUUUAUGCUACAGAGGAAGACACCGUUAGUGGAAAGCUGAUAAAAAGAAUGAUCGUAAACGUAAAGCCGAAAGAUUUUGGUUCAAUCAUUAAAGGUUACCCUGGUGAGGAUCCCAAGAUGUUAGCUCAUUUCAGGGAUCUCUUGGACAAAAUGUUCAUUCUUGAUCCUGAGAGGAGACUGACUGUGUCACAGGCAUUAGCUCACCCAUUCAUCACUGGCAAGUGAAACCACAUUGCCAUUUUCUCUCUGUUAUAUCAGGAAAUGCUGUUGUCCUAGAUAUCUGUACAUUACACAUCUUAAUUACAAUUUAAGGAUCUAAUCUUUGAAUUUUCUCUACCUUCCUUCUGCUGCCUGAGAGAGCUUUGGUUAAAAUGUCGACAUGGGUGGAGUUCUCAUUACCGACGAUUCUCAGGGGACUUUACUGGUUCUCUAUUGUAAGACAACUCGCUAAUGGCGCUUUCUUUCUUUAUACUGCUGUGACAUCUACCAAUGCUUAGAGACACUCCUAACAUCUUUCAAUGCUUUAAAGGCACACAGGAGAAGGUUUUGCUUGGAGGGGAGAGAGAUGCACAAGAAAAAACAUGCUAAGGGUCUUUCCUCUCUCCUCCUGCAAGUUUGGUUCGUUGCAGCUUCCAUAAAACCUCUAGAAAGCAACCAAGCAUUGCAUGCCGCAUGUCGUCCCAUGUGGCACUGAUCAUCUGCUGCACCUACUCACGUGCCUCUUCCUGGGAUGCUCCGGUCUCAUGCAUGUAACAUUGGACCGAUUUGAGAACAUCUCCUCUCGCCAAUUCAUCCUAAUCAAAACACUCACAGAACUAUAUAACUUACAUGAUUGAUUAUUCAAAUCGAUUUUAUAACUCACAACUAGAACUUAGAAGAUUGAUUAUUUACCGUCGAAGUUCCAAGGUCUAGAUGGAGGAUGGUGGCAGAGCAUCGGACAGGACUACUUGUUGCCGGUGUUGGGAUAAUGACCCCCAAGACUUGAAUUGAGAUUUCGUCAGAGAAAGCACAGUGAAUGUGAAUUAACAUUGUCGGGGCAGAAAUUGAAAUCCAAGCAUUUUGCAUGUAUUCUUCAAGUUUGGCUUGUAUCCUCUUUUGUACCACCUUACUUCUACUAGAUAUGUUCUACAUAAAUCUUCCCACUAAGUUGAAAAAUAACAUAAAGAAAAUGAAAACCAUAAUC